GGAGAUGCUGUUGUCAAUCUGAAGUGACAGGGGUCUGCAAGUGAGGACAUGGAGGAUCCUGUGUAAAGCAUUACAGUUUUCCAAAAGUGAAAAGAAGAAAAAGCAGGGCAAAUUCCAAACAUUCAAGAAGCUGUUUGGUAAAAGAAGGAAAGUGCCUCCAACAUUUGCUGAAAGAGUAAAUCUAAAAUCCUGUCACUCAUCCGGGGAUGUUCGAAAUGGCAUUGGAUCAGUUACUGAGGAAUCAGAAGAAGAAUUAAGUUGUGGGAAGCAAGAUGGCGGCAUGACACAGCGCGCAGUGGCCACUCCAGGAAUGAAUAUCUGUUAUCUGUAAGUAGGGGCCAUGUACAAUCCUGAUUUGAUGGAGACGGACCUGUGAAGCACGGAGGAACAUCUGGUGAAACUUUUGAAAUGCCUGUUUCGCUGCCGCUGCUGCUGUGCAAUCGGAAAAAUCUCAGUGAGGAAGGCCCCGAAUCCUCGGCUUUGCCUGUCGUUUGGCGGCCAUGGCCGGGGUCGAAGUGCUCGGCAGAGAUGGUGCUUGGUGCUCGGUGUCAGAGGGCUGGUCGGAGGCUCGAAGAUUUUGGACAGACUCGGAGUUGGCUGUGGUCGGAACUCCCAAAGUGCUGUAUCAGCAAGCUGCGGCGCUGGAGGGUCACGGCAGGGAGAGUUUUUCUCCUUCUACCAUCUGCGUGAGAUGAUGGGCUGUUGGGACUUUGAGACUUUCUUUUAAACCGUGCCAUGGACUGCUCUUUAUCAGAUUACGGUAUUGCUUUGCACUGUUGAAACUAUGUGUUAUAAUUAUGUGGUCUUCAUCAGUUAGUCUUUUAUCAAUUAUGGU